AGGGACGUAGGCACAAUUGGCUGAACCCCAUUGACAAAUUCUCUUGUUUCUUCUCUUAUAUUUAUUCUAUCACUUUAUUUGAUUGCUUGUGGCCAACGCUGCGCAACGAUCGCUUCCGCUGCACCAACAAUUGGUAUCAGAGCCAAUUGGUAGUUGGCUCUUAGCCUAGACGUCAUUUAAUGACUAAAGAGGGUGAAGACGUGAUGGCUAGACAAUGUGCGUCAAAGGUAAUGGCAAAGAUAGAGUAGAUGAAUUGAAGGAGAAUGAAACAUGGCGGAACUGUAGUGUGGGCG
rnacentral:lncRNA from 1 species